rnacentral:pre_miRNA from 7 species
AAUUAGAAAUUAAUGACUUCCCACUGAAAGAACCUAGUGGGGAAACCCCCACUCAACUCCCGAUUUGGCGUGCAUCCAAGAAUCACAAAUAGAACA